rnacentral:rRNA from 1 species
CAAUGGACGAAAGUCUGACGGAGCAACGCCGCGUGAGUGAUGAAGGUUUUCGGAUCGUAAAGCUCUGUUGUUAGGGAAGAACAAGUGCAAGAGUAACUGCUUGCACCUUGACGGUACCUAACCAGAAAGCCACGGCUAACUACGUGCCAGCAGCCGCGGUAAUACGUAGGUGGCAAGCGUUGUCCGGAAUUAUUGGGCGUAAAGGGCUCGCAGGCGGUUUCUUAAGUCUGAUGUGAAAGCCCCCGGCUCAACCGGGGAGGGUCAUUGGAAACUGGGAAACUUGAGUGCAGAAGAGGAGAGUGGAAUUCCACGUGUAGCGGUGAAAUGCGUAAAGAUGUGGAGGAACACCAGUGGCGAAGGCGACUCUCUGGUCUGUAACUGACGCUGAAGAGCGAAAGCGUGGGGAGCGAACAGGAUUAGAUACCCUGGUAGUCCACGCCGUAAACGAUGAGUGCUAAGUGUUAGGGGGUUUUCCGCCCCUUAGUGCUGCAGCUAACGCAUUAAGCACUCCGCCUGGGGAGUACGGUCGCAAGACUGAAACUCAAAGGAAUUGACGGGGGCCCGCACAAGCGGUGGAGCAUGUGGUUUAAUUCGAAGCAACGCGAAGAACCUUACCAGGUCUUGACAUCCUCUGACAACCCUAGAGAUAGGGCUUUCCCUUCGGGGACAAAAUGACAAGUGGUGA